GUUAGACGGGGCCCGCACAAGCGGUGGAGUAUGUGGUUUAAUUCGACGCAACGCGCAGAACCUUACCUAGACUUGACAUCCCGGGGAUUUUCUGGAAACAGAGAAGUGCUUUAGCAAUAAAGAACCCGGUGACAGGUGCUGCAUGGCUGUCGUCAGCUCGUGUCGUGAGAUGUUGGGUUAAGUCCCGCAACGAGCGCAACCCUCGCCUUUAGUUGCCAGCAUUCAGUUGGGCACUCUAGAGGGACUGCCGGUGUCAAACCGGAGGAAGGUGGGAUGACGUCAAGUCCUCAUGGCCUUUAUGUCUAGGGCUACACACGUACUACAAUGGCCGGUACAAAGGGCAGCCACUCAGCGAUGAGGCGCUAAUCCCAUAAAGCCGGUCUCAGUCCGGAUCGCAGUCUGCAACUCGACUGCGUGAAGUUGGAAUCGCUAGUAAUCGUAGAUCAGCAUGCUACGGUGAAUACGUUCCCGGGCCUU
rnacentral:rRNA from 1 species